AAAAAAUAUUGGAAAAAACGAGUAGGUUUAUUUAAGUUUUCAGAGAGUAGGCGUUUGGUGAAAGCCUAUAAUGGAGAUAAAUUCGAAAAUCCUUUUUCUUUAUGCAAGUCUGAACCUCAGUAAGAUUUGCCGCUUUAGUAGGCGUUAUCUAUACUCGGCAUUGAUUGAUGCUUGUUAAGAGAGCUUACAUAUUUGUAGGAACUAAGGUGGUAACGCGAUAAUUCGUCCUUUGU
rnacentral:ncRNA from 1 species